CUCUUUAACUAACGACACCUCUUUGCACUUGAAAUCGCCCACUCCUACUACAACAUCGGUAUCGAUCGAGAUUGUGGAAUCCGAUUCAUUUUCACCUCCCAUGUUAUCUAUAAUACAACGAAUUUAUGUUUUUUCAGUUUGCGUACAUCAAGCACUUCGUAUCAUAGUAAAUCAAGAUAAUAAACAUCUAAUGUCAUUCUUUAAAUAAAAAAAAAAUACCUAAUGACAACUUCACAAAUGUGGAAUCAAGAUAAUAAACAUCUAAUGUCAUUCUUUAAAUAAAAAAAAAUACCUAAUGACAACUUCACAAAUGUGGAAUAUGGAAGUAGAUACAUCAUAUCGCAAUAAUAAUCACAAUUUGAAAUUGUUUCCUCUCUUGCAAAAACACCAACCUGCUACAAUAUACCAAAUUAGUCAGCAUAUUUACACAGAUAAAAUGAAGAACCGCGUGGUCUUUAGAGAGCCAAAGUGAGACACACAUUUAAAGGUAGUCUAACAAUGUUGAGCCUUUCGACAAGGCAACUUAAAGGGUUAUCAUCCUUGACUUCAGAGAAGAAUACACGUCUUUUAUCAAUUAAGAUAGAUCUGCUCUUAAUAACCUAAAAAAAGAAGUAAAGUAAUCACGCAUCAGAACACCAUUACAUAAAAAAAAUGAAUAGUACUAAUAGGUCAAUUUUAAAUACUUUACCGUAUCUUUGGCUCUAUAAUACCACUGAGCCGUAAAAUAAUAUGAGCCAUCCAUUGCCUCAAACAUUUCGAUAAUCCUACAAAUAUAAUUGUCUUCUCCUUCUUCCCCCUAAAAAGAACAAACCAGUUGAACAUAUAAAACAUGAAUUGGAGGUCAAACUAAUAACAGCAAUAACAAAAUACAAUGAACACGAUUGCACUCACUAUAACAUUUUGCAAUCAUGUUGAAUGAUAUUAUUUGCAUUAAGAUCUAGAAACCUAAUGUUGUUGAUGAAAAAUACAAUCAUAGAAAAGGCCCCCAACACAAAAUGUUUGGCAACAGCAAAUAAAAUAGCAAAUGCACAAAUAUGACAGGAUUGUAAUGUUUACGGCAGCUAAUUCAACCUUUUAAAACAUCACAUAUCUAAUAUUCUAUAUCAUAUUGCUCCAAAAUUUGCACUAGAAUGACCAUUGAAAAUAUGUUCCACCAAUUGCAAAGACUAAAAUCAAGUGAAAAUGCUUUAGAUUAUGGUAGUUAUCUAUCUGUUUUCCUAAGCAUAUACCCACCAUGGUCUCAUACCCACUAGCCAAUCAAAAAUUGAUAGUCUACAUGUCUAGUUCCUCACUGGCUAAAGCGUAUGCUCUUUACCCAAUUUCUAGUUAAUUUAAUUAUUCAUCAUACUUCUAUACAUUACCAAUCAUAAUGGUAAUAUAACCCUAAACAAGGCACCGGCACCGGGGAAAAAAAUACAUUCCUGCAUAACAUACAUGAGUAACCAAAGAAGCUACGUAGUUGUGUGCUAAUUAAUUUACUUAUCCAUCUCGUUUUGUAAACAUCUCUGACUAACGUACCUAUUAAGCUGGUUUUCUUUACAUUGGCAUCAAAAGAACCCCAAAGGCUUAUAAUUUUUUGUGACAUUUCCUAUCAAUGAAAAUUCAAAAUGCAAUUCAAAAGCAUUACCUUGACGUGAGCAUCAUCCUCGAGGCUGAAAACCACUCUGCCAUCAACCUCAGCCUUUUCAUAAUGGCAUCUUGCUUGAAUAACCUCCUCUGAAUUGUCCUUUCUAUAUCGUUUCAAUUCAUUUGAACAAAGACAAAUCAAUCAUAAGUACAAACUACAUCCUGAAAACUGUGAAUAAACAGGCACCUACUUCAAUUUUCAAUGUAAUGUAAAUCAAAAGCCUUACAAUUUUGAGCUCGUAGACAAGGCAAUUUGCUUCCCAUUAUGCUGCAAUUUAACAAAAUCAUUACAUUCACAAUUGAAAAGCCUUGGAGCCAUGGCUCAAAAAAGUGGUAGAGGCGGUCGUAACAGUAUUGAAGGCGGUGUGCGGUUUCAAGGUGUAACAGCCGUAUCGUAGCAGCAACCAAAAUUGUGAAUUUUUUUAUUUGUCGCGCAACUUAAUAAAAAACUAUCGAUACGCAUUUUUCUUCCAAAAACGUACACUAGGGGUUUUAAAUGGUAUGUGGUGAUCCUUUUAUAUUUUUUAAACAUGAUCCAACAUGUGUAAUAUUUUUUGUAUGAGUUUUAAGCUUUCUCAGUGCAUUACUUGUGAGAUUUUUCUUUUGUAAUUUUAGGGAUGUAUUUAAUUUAAUUAAUUAAUAUGAACAAUAAUUUUAAGGAUGGAAAGUUCAACAUGUUCUUUACUAACAAUCUAGUAAAGAUCACACAAAUGAACACUACAUAUAACAAACUAGAAAACAUAAAUUUUGUCCAAAUUGUAGUUACAUAUCAAAUGGGAAAUAGAUAUACUAAUUAGAAUUUUAAAACUAUACACUUAUUAAUUUUAAAUAUUAAAACACUAAAUAUUACACCUACUAAUAUGGACUAAUCUAA
rnacentral:lncRNA from 1 species